UCCAAAGGAUGAUGAUGCCACUUGUCUGCACUUUGCUAUACUGUAUGGUGAAAGAAUCAUGACGGUUUGAAUUCACUGAUUAUAUUAUCUCCUUAUUAGAAAUUUAAUGUUGUCCCAUUACAUUAGAUGUGAUCAUUGCAUCCAUACGCACAGUUGGUUUACCAUUGUUGGCAAAUGAUAGAAUCAUAGACAACGAUUUUCAAAUCUCAAAGCUUGGUACCACGGGUUCUAAUAACAGUGUUUCUCUGUUGAAUAAAGAAUUGAGUAUCAUAAUGUCAACUCUGUUGAAUUUUUUGUCCAUGAAUUGAGUAUCAUAAUGUCAACUCUGUUGAAUUUUUUGUCCAUGAAUUAACAAUAUUGUGAAAGAUCAAAGGGGAUGAUGAUGAUGUACUCCUGUCCUGAAUGAAUACGAUCCAUUAAAUAAGCUAAGCUUGUCUGCCUUCAUCCUCCCAUGUACUCUGCGCUUGGUGUUCAUGGUAGCCACAGAACUUUUUGUCAUGCAUGAACAGGCUAGACUGGCCCAAACUCACCAUGUUUUGCAUAAUUUGUGGCCCCUGACAAAUGGAUCAAGUUUUCUAAUGUAACUGUGCAUCUUUUUGUUCCUGUUGCUUGAUAAUUAACAGGUUUCCACUCGUUUUUUGUCAGCCAGUCCUCCUCUCUACUGGUUUGCAUCACAUUUAAUGAUAUCUCCUGGUAUGAGUAAGACAUGGCCGGGAUACAUGAUCUGGGCGUAUUCAACAGCGUACGUCCUUCUUGGCAGUUUGCUCUUUUCAAACCUCUACCCUUUCACUUAAAGCUUGAAUGGAGUGUUCCUGUUUAGCAAGAUGAAAGCUUCUCUGACUCGAGAAUUUUUUCCAUUCUACUUGCCCAUUAAUUAAUUCUCUGGGUGCAAAACCACAGUGGAAUGGAAGUGCCCAUAAACCAUCGAUCAGGUUCUCGAAAAUGGCAGUUGCAAAACUCCCCACGGUUCUUUUUCUGCAUUUCUUGUAAAACCAUGCUGUGAGAUGCAUGAAUCACGGGCAGUUUUGAAUAGAGCUCUGGCAUGGGAUUUUUUACAUUUUUUGUGGGUGAGAGCAACUUUUGCCAGUGCUAGUGUGAUUCGAAGAGAGUUGCUGAUAGAACAGUAUUGAUCAGAAGUUUCAUGGG
rnacentral:lncRNA from 1 species